rnacentral:rRNA from 1 species
AACGAACGCUGGCGGCAGGCUUAACACAUGCAAGUCGAACGGGCACCUUCGGGUGUCAGUGGCAGACGGGUGAGUAACGCGUGGGAACGUACCCUUCGGUUCCGGAAUAACCCAGGGAAACUUGGGCUAACACCGGAUACGUCCGCAAGGAGAAAGAUUUAUCGCCGAAGGAUCGGCCCGCGUCGGAUUAGCUAGUUGGUGGGGUAAUGGCCCACCAGGGCGACGAUCCGUAGCUGGUCUGAGAGGAUGANCAGCCACACUGGGACUGAGACACGGCCCAGACUCCUACGGGAGGCAGCAGUGGGGAAUAUUGGACAAUGGGCGAAAGCCUGAUCCAGCCAUGCCGCGUGAGUGAAGAAGGCCUUAGGGUUGUAAAGCUCUUUCAGC